rnacentral:rRNA from 1 species
AAAGAUUAAGCCAUGCAUGUCUAAGUAUAAACGAUCUAAUCGUGAAACCGCGAGUGGCUCAUUAUAACAGCUAUAAUUUACUUGAUCUUGACACUAUCCUACUUGGAUAACUGUGGUAAUUCUAGAGCUAAUACAUGCAUUAAAGCUCUGACCUCACGGGAAGAGUGCACUUAUUAGAACAAAACCAAGCGGCUUCGGCUGUUUUCGGUUGACUCAUAGUAACUGAGCUGAUCGCACGGUCUUGCACCGGCGACGUGUCUUUCAAGUACCUGCCGUAUCAACUUUCGAUGGUAGUGUAUCUGACUACCAUGGUGAUCACGCGUAACGGAGAAUAAGGGUUCGGCUCCGGAGAGUUCGCCUGAGAAAUCGCGAACACAUCUAAGGAAGGCAGCAGGCGCGAAAAUUACCCACUCUCAGCACGAGGAGGUAGUGACGAAAAAUAACGAGACCGUUCUCUUAUGAGGCCGGUCAUCGGAAUGGGUACAAUUUAAACCCUUUAACGAGUAUCUAUGAGAGGGCAAGUCUGGUGCCAGCAGCCGCGGUAAUUCCAGCUCUCAAAGUGCAUAGAAUUAUUGCUGCGGUUAAAAAGCUCGUAGUUGGAUCUGUGCCAUAGGACGUGGUCCACCUUCUGGGUGCGUACUAUGUUCCUAGGCUUUUUGCUGGUUUUCCCGUCGUAGCCUUCAUUGGUUGCGGCGGGUGGCUGGCGAGUUUACUUUGAGAAAAUCAGAGUGCUCAACACAGGCGCAUCGCUUGAAUGAUUGUGCAUGGAAUAAUAGAAAAGGAUUUCGGUCCUCUUUUAUUGGUUUUGUGGACUGAGAUAAUGGUUAGCAGGGACCAACGGGGGCAUUGGUAUCGCUGCGUGAGAGGUGAAAUUCUUGGACCGUAGCGAGAGGGGCUACUGCGAAAGCAUUUGCCAAGAAUG